AUCCUUCUCAUUCUUCUCAUCCUUCUCAUCUUUGUCUCAGGUUAAGUACCGAGUGUUCUUAGUUGUAAUUUGUAUCUGAGAGUAUCCAUCGGAAAUCCCGUUUUCGCAGGAAAUUUGUUAUUUUCAAGUUUUCAGAGGUUUUUCGUUCACAAUAACCCUAUGACAGAAGUCUAAAAGAGUUAAAGCAGGCUCGCUCUCUCUCUUGUAAUUCAACCCGGCAUGCGCGUGACUCCUUUUGGCUUCUCCUUCACCAGGUUAUUUAGAACGAAAAACCUCUUGAAAAUAUCUGUAUUGUUAUUAAUCUAUGGCUCUCACUAACUUCUUAUUCAGGGACCUGUUCCCAGAUCCUGACGGAUCUUAUAGGGGUUACCAGAAGAAGAAAUGGAGAAAGUAGAUAUCUGCUUAAGUGAUUAAUCUGUGUACCUCUACAGCAGCCUCUGCACUGUCCUCUAAAAGAGUUGCACUAAGUUCUAUAAUUACCAUGUAUAUAAUUUGUUUAUAAAUAAAAAAUGUCUUCUUUAUAGUGUAUUGUACUAUUAGUUUAUGGGCUAAUAACGUUUACCAACUUAGUAACAUGUUUUUAUGAUGCUUUUGCUGUAGAAAUUGCUCAUUCCCCGAUCUGAGGAGGGAGCGGGAGCCAUGCGACCAUGAGCACA